UACGGGGGGGGCAAGCGUUGUUCGGAAUUACUGGGCGUAAAGGGCUCGUAGGCGGCCAACUAAGUCCGACGUGAAAUCCCCAGGCUUAACCUGGGAACUGCGUCGGAUACUGGAUGGCUUGAAUUCGGGAGAGGGAUGCAGAAUUCCAGGUGUAGCGGUGAAAUGCGUAGAUAUCAAGAGGAACACCUGCGGCGAAGGCGGGUUGCUGGGCCGACACUGACGCUGAGGCGCGAAAGCUAGGGGAGCGAACGGG
rnacentral:rRNA from 1 species